rnacentral:misc_RNA from 1 species
GAUGAAGAACGUAGCGAAAUGCGAUAAGUAAUGUGAAUUGCAGAAUUCAGUGAAUCAUCGAAUCUUUGAACGCACCUUGCGCCCUUUGGACAUUCCGAAGGGCAUGCCUGUUUGAGUAUCAUGAACACCUCAACUCUCACGGCUUGUCCGUGAUGAGCUUGGACUUUGUGGGUCUUGCCGGCCUGUGGUCGGCUCCUCUCAAAUGGAUCAGCUUGCCAGUGUUUGGUGGCAUCACAGGUGUGAUAACUAUCUGCGCUUGUGGUUUUCCAUCAGAUAACCUUCAGUGAUAUGGAGGUUCGCUGGAGCUCACAAAUGUCUCUCCUUAGUGAGGACAGCUCUUUGAACGUUUGAUCUCAAAUCAGGUAGGACUACCCGCUGAACUUAAGCAUAUCAAUAAGCGGAGGA